rnacentral:rRNA from 1 species
GGUUAAGCGACUAAGCGUACACGGUGGAUGCCCUGGCAGUCAGAGGCGAUGAAGGACGUGCUAAUCUGCGAAAAGCGCCGGCGAGGUGAUAUGAACCUUUGACCCGGCGAUGUCCGAAUGGGGAAACCCAGUGUGAUUCGUCACACUAUCGUUAACUGAAUACAUAGGUUAACGAGG